rnacentral:miRNA from 1 species
AUCCCUUCCGGUCAUCAAGACUGUACAGUCUUGAUGACCAGAAGGAAUCCCUUCCGGCCAUCGAGGAGAUUGUAUGGUCUCGAUGACCGGAAGGAAUCCCUUCUGGCCAUCGAGAUUGUAUGGUCUCAAUGACCGGAAGGAAU